UACGUAGGGGGCAAGCGUUGUCCGGAUUUAUUGGGCGUAAAGAGCGUGUAGGCGGUUAUACAGGUCCGCUGUGAAAACUGGAGGCUUAACCUCGAGAUGUCGAUGGAAACCGUCUGGCUAGAGUCCGGAAGAGGAGUGUGGAAUUCCUGGUGUAGCGGUGAAAUGCGCAGAUAUCAGGAAGAACACCUAUGGCGAAGGCAGCACUCUGGGACGGUACUGACGCUGAGACGCGAAAGCGUGGGGAGCGAACAGG
rnacentral:rRNA from 1 species